ACUAAAUCAGUACACACACGCCAAGCCCAGGGGACCCGUUUGGUAAUCUAAACUACAGGAGGGGACAAUGACACCUAUAUACCAGGAUCAAAUAUCCACAGUUUCACAGUCACUUCUCAGGGAAUUGUGAGUCCAUUAUAAACGAACAAAUAGGGACCUGCACGUGCCCGCAACAAAACCUCACACAACUCUAUACCUAUAUGCUAUGUAUCUACUCUUACUGUGAGACUUGCGUGUCUCAUUUCUCUUUACUCAUGUGGAGAUCUGCGUAUCUUGAUUUACCAGAUGUUAUUUAUCAUAUUUGAAACCUGCGUGUUUCCUCA